GUGUCAGCCGCCGCGGUAAGACGGAGGAUGCAAGCGUUAUCCGGAAUGAUUGGGCGUAAAGCGUCCGCAGGUGGCAAUUCAAGUCUGCUGUUAAAGCGCAGGGCUUAACUCUGUAAAGGCAGUGGAAACUGAAUAGCUAGAGUGUGGUAGGGGCAGAGGGAAUUCCCAGUGUAGCGGUGAAAUGCGUAGAGAUUGGGAAGAACAUCGGUGGCGAAGGCGCUCUGCUGGACCAUAACUGACACUCACAGGACGAAAGCUAGGGGAGCGAAUGGGAUUAGAUACCCCAGUAGUCCUAGCCGUAAACGAUGGAUACUAGGUGUUGUCUGUAUCGACCCGGACAGUGCCGUAGCUAACGCGUUAAGUAUCCCGCCUGGGGAGUACGCACGCAAGUGUGAAACUUAAAUGAAUUGGCGGGG
rnacentral:rRNA from 1 species